rnacentral:tRNA from 1 species
GCUGAUGUAGCUCAGUUGGUAGAGCAGCUGACUUGUAAUCAGCCGGUCGGGGGUUCGACUCCUCUCAUCAGCU